GUGUUCUUUGGGCAGCACAUAUACUAAAACUGGAAUGAUGUGGACAAGAUUUAGCAUGGUGCCUGUGCAAGGAUGACACGCAAAUUCAUGAAGCAUUCUAUUAAAAA
ensembl:snRNA U6 U6 spliceosomal RNA